AUUGAACGCUAGCGGGAUGCUUUACACAUGCAAGUCGAACGGCAGCGCGGACUUCGGUCUGGCGGCGAGUGGCGAACGGGUGAGUAAUGUGUCGGAACGUGCCCAGUAGCGGGGGAUAACUACGCGAAAGCGUAGCUAAUACCGCAUACGCCCUACGGGGGAAAGCAGGGGAUCGUAAGACCUUGCACUAUUGGAGCGGCCGAUAUCGGAUUAGCUAGUUGGUGAGGUAACGGCUCACCAAGGCGACGAUCCGUAGCUGGUUUGAGAGGACGACCAGCCACACUGGGACUGAGACACGGCCCAGACUCCUACGGGAGGCAGCAGUGGGGAAUUUUGGACAAUGGGGGCAACCCUGAUCCAGCCAUCCCGCGUGUGCGAUGAAGGCCUUCGGGUUGUAAAGCACUUUUGGCAGGAAAGAAACGUCGCGGGCUAAUACCCCGUGGAACUGACGGUACCUGCAGAAUAAGCACCGGCUAACUACGUG
rnacentral:rRNA from 1 species